rnacentral:rRNA from 1 species
AGAGUUUGAUCCUGGCUCAGAUUGAACGCUGGCGGCAUGCUUUACACAUGCAAGUCGAACGGCAGCACGGGGGCAACCCUGGUGGCGAGUGGCGAACGGGUGAGUAAUACAUCGGAACGUAUCCUUGAGUGGGGGAUAACGCAGCGAAAGUUGUGCUAAUACCGCAUGAGCUCUGAGGAGGAAAGUGGGGGACCGUAAGGCCUCACGCUGAAGGGGCGGCCGAUGUCCGAUUAGCUAGUUGGUGAGGUAAAGGCUCACCAAGGCUUCGAUCGGUAGCUGGUCUGAGAGGAUGAUCAGCCACACUGGGACUGAGACACGGCCCAGACUCCUACGGGAGGCAGCAGUGGGGAAUUUUGGACAAUGGGGGCAACCCUGAUCCAGCCAUGCCGCGUGAGUGAAGAAGGCCUUCGGGUUGUAAAGCUCUUUCGUGAGGGAAGAAACGGNCAUAGUGAAUAGCUGUGGUUACUGACGGUACCUCAAGAAGAAGCACCGGCUAACUACGUGCCAGCAGCCGCGGU